GAUGAAGAACGUAGCGAAAUGCGAUACGUAGUGUGAAUUGCAGAAUUCAGUGAAUCAUCGAAUCUUCGAACGCACAUUGCACCUCUCGGUAUUCCGGGAGGUAUGCCUGUUCGAGCGUCAUUUGUACCCUCAAGCUCUGCUUGGUGUUGGGUGUUUGUUCCGCCUCUGUGUGUGAACUCGCCUCAAAACAAUUGGCAGCCGGCGUACUUGUUUCGGAGCGCAGCACAUUUUGCGAUCCAGAUCAACGUACAGCGGCAUCCAAGAAGCCUUAUUUAACGCUCUUGACCUCGGAUCAGGUAGGGAUACCCGCUGAACUUAAGCAUAUCAAUAAGCGGAGGA
rnacentral:misc_RNA from 1 species